AAGACGGGCGGUCAGAGGGGGCACGGGCUCUGUUCCCUCUGCUCCCUCCUGCAGCAGCUCAGGAACGCUCCUGGGCUCUCUUCAGAACCCUCUGUGCUCACUGUCACCACUCCCUGCUGGGACAUUCCCGAGCAUCACACCCACCCAACCUUCCAGGACUCCCAAACCAGCCCAUCCCAGUCCCUCCUAACCCUUCCCUCCUCUCCCUCGUCAUUUAAUCCCUUUAAAUGUUCACAGGGCUAUUCGGGAUUAGCUUUGUAUUUCUUUUAAGCUUUUUGUGAAGAUGGAAUCAUAGAAAGGUUGGGUUGGAAGUGACCUGGGGCACCUGUGCCAGGGCCUCCCCCUCCUCACAGGGAACAUUUUCUUAUCCUCUCUGAACCAAACUUCCCCUCUUUCAGUUUGAACCAAGCUGUCUCUAAAGUUCUUUAACAACAAUUAUUGACCUUGUGUGAAUUCCUCCAGCUCAUCCAGGUCAACUGGGAAGGAGUGGAAAAUCAAGAAGUGCUCCCUGAUGACACUCAGGCCCCCACUGUGACAAUUCCCAGGAAUAUCCAUGGUUCUGCCUGGCACCAGCAAUGCCAAAACAUCCCACGAGAAAAGCUGUUCCUGCUGCACUUUUGGAAACUGGAGCUUCCAAAAUGAGCUGCUGAGGAUCUGGGACUCGGUUUUUUUCUGGGAUGGUUCAGCCAAGCUCCCAAAACCCUGCAGCAGUGACAGCUGGUUCCUGUCCCCAGGGAUCAGCAGGUCAGUGGGCACCAACAGCUCCAGGCAAGGAAGAAACAGCUCUCCCUCCCUGCUGCUCUCCAGGAGGAACACAAAAAUCAUUGCUUGGUGUGAUUCAGAGAGUGUUGCUGCUGCCUCCUCCUGCAGGAUUUUUAAAAUUCAGCUGUGCUCCUCUAGCUCCUCUGCAGUGUUUAACAGAGGUGAGGGUGAGGAUGGAGCUGCUGCAUCCCAUUCAUUAGCCAGGCCAAGGACUGGGCUAUCUUCAUCCUCUGCCUUGUGUUUCUGCCUGCUGCCCUCUCAGAGAUGUCGGGGAAAUUCAGCCUGGCUUAAACACUCACCCUUGUCCCGGAUCACAGAGAGUUUUACAGACACAGGAAGAGGAGAACUGAACAGAAACCCAGGGACUUUCCCCCUCACCUUCAAACUCCGUUUGGCAGUUCCCAGAGUUCUCAUUCAAGCUCUCCUCCUCGUUGAUGAUGAUGUUCUCGAUGUCCUUCAUGGUGAGGUGGUCGCGGAAGGCGUG